UACGGAGGGUGCAAGCGUUGUUCGGAAUUAUUGGGCGUAAAGCGCGUGUAGGCGGUUGGUUAAGUCUGAUGUGAAAGCCCUGGGCUCAACCCGGGAAGUGCAUUGGAAACUGGCCAACUUGAGUACGGGAGAGGGUAGUGGAAUUUCGAGUGUAGGGGUGAAAUCCGUAGAUAUUCGAAGGAACACCGGUGGCGAAGGCGGCUACCUGGACGGCUACUGACGCUGAGACGCGAAAGCGUGGGGAGCAAACAGG
rnacentral:rRNA from 1 species